UAGCCAGCACCCCGAGUGGUUCGGGACGUUUAUUGGGCCUAAAGCAUCCGUAGCCGGUUCUACAAGUCUUCCGUUAAAUCCACCGUGCCUUAACAGAUGGGCUGCGGAAGAUACUAUGGAGCUAGGAGGCGGGAGAGGCAAGCGGUACUCGAUGGGUAGGGGUAAAAUCCGUUGAUCCAUUGAAGACCACCAGUGGCGAAGGCGGCUUGCCAGAACGCGCUCGACGGUGAGGGAUGAAAGCUGGGGGAGCAAACCGG
rnacentral:rRNA from 1 species